rnacentral:rRNA from 1 species
ACGUAGGGUGCAAGCGUUAAUCGGAAUUACUGGGCGUAAAGCGUGCGCAGGCGGUUACGUAAGCCAGGUGUGAAAUCCCCCGGCUUAACCUGGGAAGGGCGUUUGUGACUGGGGGACUUGAGUGCGGCAGAGGGAGGUGGAAUUCCACGUGUAGCAGUGGAAUGCGUAGAGAUGUGGAGGAACACCGAUGGCGAAGGCAGCCCCCUGGGCCAAUACUGACGCUGAGGCGCGAAAGCGUGGGGAGCAAACAG